rnacentral:rRNA from 1 species
GAUGAACGCUGGCGGCGUGCCUAAUACAUGCAAGUCGAGCGAACGGACGAGAAGCUUGCUUCUCUGAUGUUAGCGGCGGACGGGUGAGUAACACGCGGAUAACUUACCCUGCAGACUGGGAUAACUUCGGGAAACCGGAGCUAAUACCGGAUAACACCGAAAACCGCAUGGUUUUCGGUUGAAAGGCGGCUUUUAGCUGUCACUGCAGGAUGGGCCCGCGGCGUAUUAGCUAGUUGGUGAGGUAACGGCUCACCAAGGCGACGAUGCGUAGCCGACCUGAGAGGGUGACCGGCCACACUGGGACUGAGACACGGCCCAG